AACUUGGGGACUGAAUCACUGAAUUGACUAUUCAAUUGUAAGCAGCAAAGAGUAGGGAUUUGUCCAACAGAAUCGCCAAACGCUAAACCCUAUUCAGUCCCUUCAAGAAAGGAGUUGAGCAUAGGAAAAAUUAUUGGAUAGUCCCCCAAGAUCUGGAGCUAUGUAUUAGCCGGCUUUGUCUUGCGCAAUGACUGUUAGAUUUUCGAUGUCACUAUGCACAUUCCAAUAUUUGAGUGACCCCCAACAACUUCUGGUGGAUCUUGGAGCAUGAAGAGUGUUGGCAGGAGGAAGAGCUACUGCAAAAUUUAGCUUUGAAAAUUGAAUCUCAUCUCAGUUGUAAUCUUUGUAUAAUUGUAUUUUGAGUGAGUGACGAGGGAAACUCACACCCACUACCCAAGAGUGUGCAUGGGGUAAACCCGCCUUAUGACCUUAGCCGGCAAGAAGGUAAACCAGUCUUGGGUAGUGCACGGGGUAAUCUUUGUAUUUAACAGUCCCUGAACAAGAUUUAUUUAUAUGUUGUGGGCUGAACAAGUAGGUUUUGCCAAAUAUGAUCAAGUUGCUUGGCAAUCUUCUUAAUA